CAUCUAAUGAAUUGUCCAUAACAGUUCUUAAUCCUAGAUAGUAAAAGAAAAAUUUGUUCUCUAUAUAUUUUUGCUCAGUGAUUUGUACAAUCAAUUUUUUGAUACAUUUCUAAUACACGAUUGUUCUUGUGAGAGGAAUUUGGUACAGCAAUUUGAUGAUUAGCCUAACAGCUAAUUAUCUGCUGACCUAUGUUACCCGAACUCGGCUGAAAGUGUCCAAACUGGAUAUGUGUCCGAGUGUCGGACUCCGCAAUAAUUUGAAAAUUUUAUAUUUUUGGCCUAAAAUAAAGUGUCGGAGUGCCCAUACCUAUGUCCGAGUGUUGAGUGUCCGACACGAGUACUUGAAGCAAAAUGAAGAGUCGGGGUAACAUAGCUGCUAACAACAAUGCCGAGAACCAAGAUACAUCAUACACACACCAUUGUGAACAUCCUGCUGUGCAUGACACCUGCAUAGCUGCAUAUGAAAAGAAAAAACACAUGCAUAAUUCGUUCAAUAAAGGAUCUCUGUGAUUGUUCGAUAAGAACAGAAAACGUGCUAGAUAAUUGAUGGUAUUCUGUUGAGGUGUGCUCUUAAUCAUUAAUGCUUUUAUCCAACACAAUCUUGAUAAGACUCUUGAAUGGCCACUGCCAUGCCCAUACAAAGUGAGUAACUGCUUAGUCAAAGGCCUAACACAAUGCUAUGUAAUGUGUUACAUUGU
rnacentral:lncRNA from 1 species